UCACAUUUUAGUUCGCUUUCUACUUGAACAAUGAUGUUCUUAUACAUUCUUUAAUUUUUCUUGUUGAUUCUGAUUGCUAUUUUUCACUUGCUGACAAAAGAAGUACACACUUUUUCUACCAAGUCCAUAGGAUUUCCUGACUUUUCAAUUCUAUUAUUAAAUAUUUAAUAGUCUUAUUCCUUCUUAGAGAUUAAACCUUUAGAGUGCCCCAAAUUACAUUCAAAUUUGGAUUUAGUGUUUUAUGAGCCUGCUGCAGAGCUAUUUUUCCAGAAUUUCUUCCCAUUUAAUUCUUUAUUAAUCAGCCUAGUUUAAAUGUUGUAGCAUCUCCAAAUUUCAGAUGCUUAAUUUUUUAAGAAGUCUGCUUUUUUUUUUCACUCCUAUCCCAAUCCACCUAGAACCAGAAGGGAGUUUCACUCCAUUGAGACACUCCGAAGCGGAGAUUUCCAUCAGCUGCUUAGCACCACUCCACAACUCAUGGGAAGACCCUGCCCUUUCUCUUCAGUGAACAUGGAUGAAGUUCAGGCAGCAUCAGCAUGCACAGUAAGUGAAACAGAGAUUACCUGAGUUCAGUAGAAUUUUAUCUUAGGCAAAUGUCUACACUUACUUUGUGUUUUGUAUACUAUGUUUGCUGGGGUUGUUUUGACAAUUAGAAAAUAUUUUAGUAUUAAAAUCUCAAAUAGAUCUCCCCAAAUAAAACAAAUUUUAAAACCUCAACCCAAAGGAUAAACCUCUACCCAUGCCAACCACACCUUAUUUCCUCAUUAUUUUACAAAAGAUUCAAACUUAAAGAUGAUAAAUAAUGGCCACUAGAAAGAAAUGCAGCAAGAGGGAUGAAUAUUUACAUAGUAAUAAAAUAAAGUGGAUAUCAUUGUUUGAUUGACAAGGUGAUUUUUUUCAAUGGAAAGAUCAGUUGUGCAUUCAACACACACUUCAUGAACACCUAUUGAAUAUCACUGUGUAGCAGGCACUGCUGAAUGCUUGGAAUAGACACGGUUUCUCACUUCAAGGAUUUUACAAAUGUAAAGGUAAAUGUAUGAUAGGAAUAUAUUAUAUUGGUGGUGUGAGUAGUUUUAACAAGUCUUUAUUUCCAUAGGUUCAUACUAACUCAAGAGUUUAGAUUCCAGAUAACUUUUGGAAUCUAAAGCCUUUUGCAUAGAUAUGCUGCCAUUAUAAUCAACAUCCUUUGCGUUCCUCUCAAUUAAACCAAGUUAUAUCCACAUUAUUAGUGUUCUGCAAAAAAAUGCAUAAAAGUUCUCAACUCACUUUGCCAAUAUAUUUUACAUAGCAGCCGCUGUUAUUAACUCACUACUUUCUGCCAGCCCUUAUUAAAUACUUGUUCAUAAAUAGAUUGCAAAGGUCUUCUAUACCCCAAGGUAAAAGAGGGAAUUAACAUUUAUUGAACAUCAACUAGGUGCCAAGUUUGUUACACUUAUUUUCCAUCCUCAAGGCUACAGCAAGUUGUCUUCUAAGGACUUCGGAACAAGGAACACAAGAUUACCUUCUGAAGGGUCAACUACAAAGUCAGCACAUGAUGGAGGAAAUUAGCCCUAAAAGAACCAGGCUAAAAUAACAGAGUGGAAAUGCCUCAGGAGGUUAUUCAAUCUUGAGGUAGCUCUGGACCUAACAAAGACUAGGCUACACCUGCCCAAUAAGGUUGAAUCACAGGCGAUGAUACUAAUAAACUCCAAGAGAGAAAACAUACCAUCUGAAGUUGGUCUGAAUAUGUGUAGUUAGUACAUUCAAGAGAAUGUAGAUAAGGACCUGGUCAAUUUGUUCUAGCACUGCCUGGAAGACAGGGAAUCUUGGUCAACAGAGGUUGGGUAGGUCAUUCUUAAAUUGCCAAAGUCACCCCCAUUUUAUAAACAGAAAAUAUCUUAGAGGAUACCUUUUCCCAAGAUUAUUACAUUUCUAUAAUUCUGACUUUCCACUCACCUAAGUAAAAUUCUGAUUAGGACUUAGCUUUGUAAGGAAAGUGAUGGCUGAAAGUAGGCAUUCAUCAUGAAGAUUUCAAAUAAUUGAAUGCCUGGAAUACAUUUUUUUUUUCCUGAUUAAAGUUUUACACUGACAUCUACCCCUUAGAAUCUAGAUAAGAUUGUUUCAGCCUCCCAUAUCAUGCUUCAUUUAAAGUUUAAUGCUGUUUCUAAUAUUUCCAUGAGUUCAUGCUGAGGCAGAGAGGGCAGGUUUACAUUCAUAGGAUUACCUGUGGUUCUAAUUUGCUAAAUUUCCCCACUUUGGAUCUUCUAGUUGUUCCUUUACAUCUUCUCAGCCAUUGAUCCAGGAAAAUCAACCUCUUUUCUUCAUAAAAUCACAAAAAAUAUCCAAUAUAUAUAAGGCAAGAGUAGCCAUGUGAUCUUCCCUGAAGUUUUGAGAUAGUGGGACUUUAGGGCGGAGCAAAUAACAUUAAACUGAGCCUUAGGUAUCCUUGUUUCCUUUCAUUAUCCUAGUGGUAUCUUCUUUGAAAUCCACUUCCCCCAUUCUUUACUCCUUCAGUCUUAGACCUGCCCACAUACCUACCUGGAGAAACACACACACCAGCACACACACACAGGCACCACACUUUCCCAUUUUCUUGAGAAGAUAUUUUAGCUUUCUCCAGCACCUACCUAGAACCCAACUGAAGUUUUGAAAUAUCUACCAAUGAGGAUAUUUUCAAAAUAGGUCCUCUUUUACAGCACAGUUUUGAGAUAUGGGUCAAGAUCAGAUUUCCAGUUACAGUAGCAUUCUGUUGUCUGCCUCCAUCUUCUGUAUGUUUUGGUGUGUUUUUCAUGAAGUGAUCACCUCUGGGGCUGUCAUAGACUAGAUCACUUGGCUUUCAGAGCAGGGGCCUAGAUCCAGGAUUUGAGGUCCAACUCACCCUUGGCUAGACUGUCUGCCAUUCACAGUAUAGGCUCUCUUCUCUCUGUCAUAGUUCCUUAUACUUAUAUGUUCAAUUAUCUCUAAGGAUCUGGUUUCCAAGGCAAGUAGCUUAGAUAAUGUCUUUGAAUAAUUAUAGCUUCU
rnacentral:lncRNA from 1 species